GACGAACGCUGGCGGCGUGCCUAAUACAUGCAAGUUGAGCGCUGAAGGUUGGUACUUGUACCAACUGGAUGAGCAGCGAACGGGUGAGUAACGCGUGGGGAAUCUGCCUUUGAGCGGGGGACAACAUUUGGAAACGAAUGCUAAUACCGCAUAAAAACUUUAAACACAAGUUUUAAGUUUGAGAGAUGCAAUUGCAUCACUCAAAGAUGAUCCCGCGUUGUAUUAGCUAGUUGGUGAGGUAAAGGCUCACCAAGGCGAUGAUACAUAGCCGACCUGAGAGGGUGAUCGGCCACAUUGGGACUGAGACACGGCCCAAACUCCUACGGGAGGCAGCAGUAGGGAAUCUUCGGCAAUGGACGAAAGUCUGACCGAGCAACGCCGCGUGAGUGAAGAAGGUUUUCGGAUCGUAAAACUCUGUUGGUAGAGAAGAACGUUGGUGAGAGUGGAAAGCUCAUCAAGUGACGGUAACUACCCGGAAAGGGACGGCGAACUACGU
rnacentral:rRNA from 1 species